rnacentral:rRNA from 1 species
GAUGAACGCUGGCGGCGUGCUUAACACAUGCAAGUCGAACGAAGCACUUGCGACAGAUUUCUUCGGGAUGAAGUUGCUUAUGACUGAGUGGCGGACGGGUGAGUAACGCGUGGGUAACCUGCCUUGUACUGGGGGAUAGCAGCUGGAAACGGCUGGUAAUACCGCAUAAGCGCACAAUGUUGCAUGACAUGGUGUGAAAAACUCCGGUGGUAUAAGAUGGACCCGCGUCUGAUUAGCUAGUUGGUGAGAUAACAGCCCACCAAGGCGACGAUCAGUAGCCGACCUGAGAGGGUGACCGGCCACAUUGGGACUGAGACACGGCCCAGACUCCUACGGGAGGCAGCAGUGGGAAUAUUGCACAAUGGAGGAAACUCUGAUGCAGCGACGCCGCGUGAGUGAAGAAGUAAUUCGUUAUGUAAAGCUCUAUCAGCAGGAAGAUAGUGACGGUACCUGACU